GGGUGAAUUAACGCGUGGGGAACGUUCCCCUUUGGUACGGAACCAACUGAAGGGAAACUUCACCUAAUACCGUAUGUGCCCUUCGGGGGAAAGAUUUAUCGCCAUUGGAGCGGCCCGCGUUGGAUUAGGUAGUUGGUGAGGUAAAGGCUCACCAAGCCUACGAUCCAUAGCUGGUCUGAGAGGAUGACCAGCCACACUGGGACUGAGACACGGCCCAGACUCCUACGGGAGGCAGCAGUAGGGAAUCUUGCGCAAUGGGCGAAAGCCUGACGCAGCCAUGCCGCGUGAAUGAUGAAGGUCUUAGGAUUGUAAAAUUCUUUCCACCGGGGACGAUAAUGACGGUACCCGGAGAAGAAGCCCCGGCUAACUU
rnacentral:rRNA from 1 species